AUUGGCAGCUAGUUCUCUGCAACUCCCACGUGGUCGCCCACUGAAGCUAAGCAGGGCUGCGCCCGGUCAAUACCUGAAUGGGAGACCACAUGGGAAAGCUAGGUUGCUGCCGGAA
rnacentral:rRNA from 1 species